rnacentral:rRNA from 1 species
AGCAGCCGCGGUAAUUCCAGCUCCAAUAGCGUAUAUUAAAGUUGUUGCAGUUAAAAAGCUCGUAGUUGAAUUUCGGGGUUCUUCCGUUGGUCAGGCUAACCAGUCUGUACUAGCGUGUAGAACCCCUACCUUCUGGGGAACCAUCAUGUCAUUAAUUUAGCGUGGUGGGAAACCAGGACCUUUACCUUGAAAAAAUUAGAGUGUUCAAAGCAGGCUUACGUCUAGAAUACAUUAGCAUGGAAUAAUAAAAUAGGACGGUGGUCCUGUUUUGUUGGUUUCUGAAUCACCGUAAUGAUUAAUAGGGAUAGGUUGGGGCAUUAGUAUUCAAUUGUCAGAGGUGAAAUUCUU